GAAAUGCGAUAAGUAAUGUGAAUUGCAGAAUUCAGUGAAUCAUCGAAUCUUUGAACGCACCUUGCGCCCUUUGGCCAUUCCGAAGGGCAUGCCUGUUUGAGUAUCAUGAACACCUCAACUCUUCAUGGUUUUCCUUGAUGAGCUUGGACUUUGGGGGUUUUGCUGGCCUGUGGUCGGCUCCCCUCAAAUAAAUCAGCUUGCCAGUGUUUGGUGGCAUCACAGGUGUGAUAACUAUCUACACUUGUGGUUUUCCACCAAGUAACCUUCAAUGGUGGGGGUUCACUGGAGCUUACAAAUGUCCCUCAUCAGUGGGGGACAGCCCUUUUGAAUGUUUGAUCUCAAAUCAGGUAGGACUACCCGCUGAACUUAA
rnacentral:misc_RNA from 1 species